UCAAAAUGUUAUUUCUGUGAGGUUUUUGUUGUCUUCUUAAUACUAAGGCACAAUGAGUUGUGCUGCGUAUGCUCUGUGAGCACAAGAAAAGAAUGUUCUGCCCCGGCUAGCUACAAUUCCUCUUUGAGUUUAGUACAAAACAGCACGAGUGGAUCCUCAGAUUUCUUGGGGAAGGGCUGCGUGACAAACAUUGCUGUGAGCUUUAUGUCUACCAGAGGAUUUUCCGGGUCAUUCUUUCCUUUCUCAGCAGUCCUUUGUGUGACCAGGGCUCCCAGAGUCGUAUUCUGGAGAUAUGACAGAGUGCUGCCCGUGUCACCUCUAGAGCUGCCCAUGAGCUGAUAGAGGAUCAC